CAAAACACUGUCCGGUCCUGUGCUUACGGCUGUGCGUCCGCAGGACAGGGCAGUGUUUUAUU
rnacentral:pre_miRNA from 1 species